AGUGUAGCUCAGCUGGAUAGAGCGUCUGGCUACGGACCAGAAGGUCGUGGGUUCGAAUCCUAUCACU
rnacentral:tRNA from 1 species